CUUGUAGAAAGUUGAUCUGCAAUAAAACAGCUACAAGCCUCACCAACCCAACCAUUUAAUCCUAUAGACCUGUGAACGGGAGAGAAUGAAUCUGAACUGUAAAUCUGCCUCCAGUUCUGAAGAGCCCUCCCUGGAAUGGCACCCGUCACCACCAUACCCGCACACCCUCAACUCCAAUGGACAACCUGAUGAGACAAGGUUCUUAAAAAUCCAGCCAGCACACCGAGACCCACAUGGAAGAACAGAAGCAAC